rnacentral:rRNA from 1 species
UACCAGCACCCCGAGUGGUCGGGACGAUUAUUGGGCCUAAAGCAUCCGUAGCCGGUCCUACAAGUCUUCCGUUAAAUCCACCUGCUUAACAGAUGGGCUGCGGAAGAUACUAUAGGGCUAGGAGGCGGGAGAGGCAAGCGGUACUCAGUGGGUAGGGGUAAAAUCCUCUGAUCCAUUGAAGACCACCGGUGGCGAAGGCGGCUUCCUGGACCGACACUGACGCUGAGGCGCGAAAGCGUGGGGAGCAAACAGG